rnacentral:lncRNA from 1 species
AUGGAUGCAGCAGAAGCAAACAACAAAAGGGACCAAUAUGCUGUUUUCAAUACUAUACUAGAGGACAUGGUCCAAAACAGUGCACGAUGAGAGGACAACUACAAGCUGUAAAAAAAGAAAAAAAAAGUGUAAGAUAUGAGUAAGUAAAUGCAUAUAAAUGCAUGCAUGUGUGUUUACUUUAACCAUGGUAAAGCAAAUGUGGUUAAAAAAUUACCCAAUCUGAUUCUUCUGAAGAAGAUAUAUCAUAUCAUUGAGAAAUGAUGGUGUUUUGUACUUCUUAUCUUUAGGAAAAAAAAAUUGAAAGAUAAAAAUCAAAUAAAGAAAUCCCACUGUCUUGGCUUGGUCUUAUGACUUAUUUUUGAAAAAAAAAUUUCUUGGUGUUUGUCUUACUUGUUCCCUGAAAUCGAUGUUAUUCUCUCUCUCUCUUUCUCUUUCUUUCUCAAUUUUAAUUUUUUAUUAUUUUUUAUCUUCUCACUCUGUGUUAUUGAAUUAUUUUGUUUAACUUGGGGCAGCUGGUUCAUUCUUCCAAGCAAAAAGCUGUUAAUUAGCUAGCAGAGGCAUCAGAUCUAGUAGAAAAAGAAGUGCUAAGAAUUUGAGAGACUCUGAUGAGCAGAGAAAAAAAGAAAAGAAAUAAAAGAAACAUUGGAAUUUGUAAUAAUCUUAAUGUUCUUUCUAUUAACGCCCUUUCAAGUAAUGUAGGCUGUUAUUAACAUUCAAAUCGAGCUUACAAUAAGCUCUAUUAACACUGAGCAAUGGAAUAUUUUAAUUAAGGACCCAAAACUUCAAAUCAAAAUUAAAAAGAAAAAAGAAAAAAGAAAAAAGAAAAAAGAAACCCUUAAGAGGAGAGGAGAGAACAAACCCAGUUGGGAUUAAUUGAUAAUGAUAAGUUCCUUUACCUGUAAGUGAGAUUUAACAUGAGCCAAGGUAAGAUCUUUCACAUCCAUUAGCUCAAGAACUGAUUUUGGAGUUGCUCCUAUACUCAAUAUCAAACCAAGAGGAGUAAUUAAUAUGAGUUUAUAAGAAAAAAUCUUUUAGCCAGAAAAGAAAAGGGUACUAAAGUAUAUCGAAAAAAGAAAGUGGAGAAAAAAUGAAAGCAUACUUUCAUGGCCACCCAAUAACUCAACAGCAUGAACAAAGCGAGCAUGAAGAGUCGUAGUCCAUCGCAUCCGCGGAGCUCUCAUGCUUCGUUUUGCCGGAAACCUCGACAUGAAUCUUGAUCUCAUCAAACCUUGUUGUGACUGAAAAGAAUUCAAACUCGAGGUACUUGUGUUAUUAUUAGCUACCAAAGAUGGAGGAGGAGGAGAAUCCAAUGGCUGUUGCUGAUGAUGAGGGAAUGGAAAAGCAUGAGAAGCUUGAUGAUGAUGAUGAUGAUGAUGAGGGUUUUGAUAAACAGGGAUUCCUCUUAUGGGUCUCAAGAAACCAAGCUCUUGACUCAGCCCUUGCUGCUGCGGCGGUUGAUGAUAAAGCACUGGGUGGUGGUGUUGGUUUUGAUGAAGAUGAUGAUGUGUAGGAAAUUGACUAUGAUUUUGCUGAUGAUGAAAAGAGUGAAAAAUGUUGUUGCCAUUACAAUUAGUGGUGGUGGUGGUAUUGUUUUGGAGGAGAUGAAACUGAUGAUGAUGAUUUAGAUUAUUAUUCGACGACAGAGACUCAGAGAGUACUGAAGAAGAAGAAACCCUUGCCGGGUUUGAUAGGGAGAGUUCGAAGCCACCGCCGGUUGAUAUAUCGGAGGAGGGCUUGGCGUUGGCGGCGGCCAUUGAAGAAGAAUUUCUUGAGUCCAGAGCUCGCUUCCAAAAUCCCAAAUCCAUUUCUUCUUCAGCAGCUGCACCUCUCCUGCUGCUCCAUGUUGAUGAGGGUUUGCUGUUUGGUGGGCUGAUUUGUAAAGACAAAUCAGGUUGAGCUGGAAAUAGCUCCAUAUCUUUUUGAACUCCUACUACUACUAACAACAACAACAAAAUUACUAUAGGACUCCCACCUUUCAAAGCUUUCUUUAGCUUAAUUUUCGUUUCUAGCAGUAUAUAUGAUUUGUAAGAUGCUAGCUUUUGAGUGAUGAUGUAUGAGUUAACAAAUAAGAAAGAAAGAAAGAAAAAAAAAAAAAAAGGUUUUUGAAAUCUUGAGGUGGGAUUUAAGGAGGAUUCUUGAGAUGGGGUUUGAUCAAAUUUUGAGGGGGGAAGUAGUUGUAGUUGUGAAGUUGCAGAGAUUUGAGAAUAAAAAGAGGGAGAGAAAGAAAAC